UACUCCAGUCAUUUCGCCUUU
rnacentral:piRNA from 1 species